rnacentral:lncRNA from 1 species
GCCCAAGCCACAUUUAGUCUCUGCUAACUUGAAAUUCUUCAUAAUUUUUGAAUAAGAGGCUCCAAUUUUCAUUUUGCAUGGAGACCCGAAAGUUAUGUGGCUUGUCCUGGUUACAAGAAUAAUGAGGAGAAAAGCCAAGGGGAGGGGGAAUAGGGGCAAAUAGGAGUGUAGUUGAAAAAACGGAAUGUUUAAGGCAGAAGAUCAUAUAUUUUAGGGUACUUUGCAGACAGCAAGAGAGGAGAGUGAGAGAGAAAUGACGAUGGUUCUUCAUCAUAAAGAAAAAUAAAAGACUAAUUGUGUCAUGUGGCCUCCAAGAUACUUGGAGUAAAAGAUGGGUUGGUUCCAGGUAAAUCUUAGCUCCAGGUGCUGCAUGGACAGCUUCAGUGUUUGCAUUGUCUGGAGUUAAAAUAAACAUGAGUUUGCCUGCAUGGUCAUCUCCAUUUUCAGCAGAAGUCAAUUAGGAAAUGAUUUUCUUCAAACCAUAUUGACUUUUUUUUUUUUCAGAAAGAUUUGAUUCCUAAAUGACAGGGUGACUAAAGAUCAAAUCAUUUUUCCGUUACAUUUAAUGCGGGAGGUUUCCAUUUUUUAGGCCUCCCUGCAGAAGAGUUUCAAUUGCAUUUCCGUUUGUUCUCCAAAGGCAGUUUUACAGUUCUCUGAUUUACGCUAAGGUCAAGAGAAGGUUUGCAAGCUGCCACAGAACAUAAAUUACAGAACCUCCUGACAAAAUGGUGGGUCAGAAAAGUAACGUGGAAUACAUUAGUGAAGGGUAGAUUAACAUGCCUUUAAGUGCUAAUUUAUUUCUCAAAUGUGCAGCUUGAAGUCUUUCUCUCCUAUCACUAGGCUCAAGGCUGAGUGUCUUCCAUAUUGAUCAGGAGCCUCUGCAGCAGGCACACGCAGGACGCUGUGCUGUGCUGUGCAUGGUGAGAAGUGUGACUCACUGCUGGUGAGAAUUAUUCAGCAGACAAAAUGAACUGGGAGGAAGUGAGUGAUCUUUACCUCUUAGGCGAAAGGAUGCAAUUAUCAAGGAAACCAAUGCACAGAGCACAAAGCACCAAUCAUGUAUUUGGCUCUCCUUGGUGUGUUUCGUGGUGCAUGGUGAGGGGUGCACAGAUCUCCAGGGUUUGCAGUCCUGCUGGGAGAGGAGAGUCACAGACAGGGCAGAAGAAAAUGGAAAACAAAGACAAACAAACCAAAGAAGGAGGAUGA